rnacentral:rRNA from 1 species
ACUUUCAUUUUUAAUUAAACUUACACACGCAAGUCUCCUCGCUCCAGAGAAAAUGCCCUUUAUCUUCCUUUUUAUCAGAAGAAAAGGAGUUGGUAUCAGGCUCAAAUAGCCCAAAACACCUAGUUCAGCCACGCCUCCAAAGGACUCCAGCAGUGAUUAACAUUAAACACUAGCGCAAGCUAAAUUUAGUUAUAAUUUAUAUGGUCGGUUAAUUUCGUGCCAGCCACCGCCGGUUAUACGAAAGACUUAAAGUGAUAGCCACCGGCGUAAAGCGUGAUUAGGGGCAAAAAUUUUCUAAAGCUAAACUCUGACUUAAUUGUUAUAAGUUUUUAUCAGUAGGAAACCCAAUAACGAAAGUAGCUUUAUUACACCUGACUUCCCGGUAGCCAAGACCCAAACUGGGAUUAGAUACCCCACUAUGCUUGGCCCUAAACUUUGAUAAUUACUAUUAAC